AACGAACGCUGGCGGCAGGCUUAACACAUGCAAGUCGAACGCCCCGCAAGGGGAGUGGCAGACGGGUGAGUAACACGUGGGAACAUGCCCAAAGGUACGGAAUAUUCUCGGGAAACUGAGAGCAAUACCGUAUGUGCCCGAAAGGGGAAAGAUUUAUCGCCUUUGGAUUGGCCCGCGUCGGAUUAGCUAGUUGGUGGGGUAAAAGCCUACCAAGGCGACGAUCCGUAGCUGGUCUGAGAGGACGACCAGCCACACUGGGACUGAGACACGGCCCAGACUCCUACGGGAGGCAGCAGUGGGGAAUCUUGGACAAUGGGCGCAAGCCUGAUCCAGCCAUGCCGCGUGGAUGAGGAAGGCCCUAGGGUUGUAAAAUCCUUUCGUUGGGGACGAUAAUGACGGUACCCAAAGAAGAAGCUCCGGCUAACUUCGUG
rnacentral:rRNA from 1 species